GACGAACGCUGGCGGCGUGCUUAACACAUGCAAGUCGAACGCUGAAGCUCAGCUUUUGUUGGGUGGAUGAGUGGCGAACGGGUGAGUAACACGUGAGUAACCUGCCUCCUUCUUUGGAAUAACGCCCGGAAACGGGUGCUAAUACUGGAUAUUCACUGGUCUUCGCAUGGGGGUUGGUGGAAAGGGUUUUUCUGGUGGGGGAUGGGCUCGCGGCCUAUCAGCUUGUUGGUGGGGUGAUGGCCUACCAAGGCUUUGACGGGUAGCCGGCCUGAGAGGGUGACCGGUCACAUUGGGACUGAGAUACGGCCCAGACUCCUACGGGAGGCAGCAGUGGGGAAUAUUGCACAAUGGGCGCAAGCCUGAUGCAGCGACGCCGCGUGAGGGAUGGAGGCCUUCGGGUUGUGAACCUCUUUCGCUCAUGGUCAAGCCGCAACAAUGGUUGUGGUGAGGGUAGUGGGUAAAGAAGCGCCGGCUAACUACGUG
rnacentral:rRNA from 1 species